AUUGAACGCUGGCGGCAGGCUUAACACAUGCAAGUCGAGCGGAGAUGAGGUGCUUGCACCUUAUCUUAGCGGCGGACGGGUGAGUAAUGCUUAGGAAUCUGCCUAUUAGUGGGGGACAACAUUCCGAAAGGAAUGCUAAUACCGCAUACGUCCUACGGGAGAAAGCAGGGGAUCUUCGGACCUUGCGCUAAUAGAUGAGCCUAAGUCGGAUUAGCUAGUUGGUGGGGUAAAGGCCUACCAAGGCGACGAUCUGUAGCGGGUCUGAGAGGGUGAUCCGCCACACUGGGACUGAGACACGGCCCAGACUCCUACGGGAGGCAGCAGUGGGGAAUAUUGGACAAUGGGGGAAACCCUGAUCCAGCCAUGCCGCGUGUGUGAAGAAGGCCUUAUGGUUGUAAAGCACUUUAAGCGAGGAGGAGGCUACUGAGACUAAUACUCUUGGAUAGUGGACGUUACUCGCAGAAUAAGCACCGGCUAACUCUGUGCCAGCCGCCGCCGUAAAAC
rnacentral:rRNA from 1 species